CUUCAAUAGAAUUAUAGCAAUUGGCACCAGCUAAGAAUCUGCCCCAAGGGGUUUUCAAAAUGUAAUGCUGUGUUACUGGGGUUGGGGUGUACCCAUUCCACACUGCACCAGAAGGGUGUCCAUCUUGGGCCCGAUCUUCAGAUGUGCUGAGAACCUGCAGCUUCAGUUGCUCCAAAUGGAGAUCAGGAGCACCUACAGACACAAGGGGCAGCCCUAGUCAAGCACUAAGACAUGGCAGCCGGUGCGUUGGUGAGCAAUUACAGCACGCCUCAAGCAGUGUGCCGCACGAUCUGGAAGCACAAGGGAUUUGAAGCACCUUGCAAACACAAGAGUUGCCCUGAAUGACUGUUCGGGGAGUGGGUCUUGCUGGUUUCACAACAUGGAAUUUGCAAAGAGACACCAGGCAAAAAGCGAGGAGGUCCUGUGGAUUAACGGGGGUGGUGAUGGGGGCCUGACAUUGUUUGCGGCCAACUGAAGAGCUCCGUUUGCAUCUGGCAUUCUAAACCUAUUUCAUAAUUCACAUUAAGGGCUAACGAUUGCUUCCAUCCAAUGAGCUGCAGAGACCAAUAUGUUGCCCAUUGAUUUCCUAUCACCUGCUCUCUCUGCAGAGAGAGA